rnacentral:rRNA from 1 species
ACCAUGGAGAGUUUGAUCCUGGCUCAGGAUGAACGCUAGCGGCAGGCCUAACACAUGCAAGUCGAGGGGCAGCGGAUAAGUAGCUUGCUACUUAUGCCGGCGACCGGCGGACGGGUGCGUAACGCGUAUGGAACCUACCUUUCACUGGGGGAU